GCCAUAGCUCAGGGGCAGAGCUUAUGCUUUGUUUACAGAAGGUCCCAGGUUCAAUCCCUGGUAUCUCAAGGCA